rnacentral:lncRNA from 1 species
UAUCAGCAGGGCUCAGCUCCCUUUCCCUUCUCCAGUCUGCCUUUCUAUGUCCAUUGAUUUUAUCCUUCCUACAACAGAUUCCUACCUGGCAGCAAUAUAGCCCCAGAGUUCCAUGACUCAUAUCCACACUCCAACACCUAGAAGAAAAAAGAACAAGCUUUUUAGACAGUAAGGAGCUCUGAGAUUCACUCUGACUGGACUAGCUGAGAUCUCAUGCCUAUGAUUGGCCAUACCAGUUGGUUAAGGGAUUAUCACAAGUAUUACUAGCAUAGCCUUUAUUGCGUUGAACUACAAUUCUGGUUUUCUCAUUGCUGUCUCCAAUAGAUGGUGUUAUGUUAUUCUCCUUUAUAUCCCCACUGCCUAGGACAUAGUCAUACUCAAGAAAUGUGAAUUGGAUUUUCAAAGCACAGGGUUAGUUGUCCUCUUCUCUUAUCAAACUCUUGUGCUAGCUUAAUCCGGGCCUCAGCAGUCUGUGGGCAUAAAAGGUGCCCCAUUAAUAGCUGUAAAUACAUAAAUAAAUACCAACCAUGAGGAGUACGCUAGCAAGGAUGCCUCAGGGUGUCUAGUACCUUCCAGGUGCAGCAGAGAACGCUGGCCACUGUGCCUUGAUUUUUCUGGGCCUUCUGUUGAAAUGGGGCAAUAUUUCCAACCUCUCGGGGUUCUCUA